AUUGAACGCUGGCGGCAGGCCUAACACAUGCAAGUCGAGCGGAUGAGUGGAGCUUGCUCCAUGAUUCAGCGGCGGACGGGUGAGUAAUGCCUAGGAAUCUGCCUGGUAGGGGGGGACAACGUUUCGAAAGGAACGCUAAUACCGCAUACGUCCUACGGGAGAAAGCAGGGGACCUUCGGGCCUUGCGCUAUCAGAUGAGCCUAGGUCGGAUUAGCUGGUUGGUGAGGUAAAGGCUCACCAAGGCGACGAUCCGUAACUGGUCUGAGAGGAUGAUCAGUCACACUGGAACUGAGACACGGUCCAGACUCCUACGGGAGGCAGCAGUGGGGAAUAUUGGACAAUGGGCGAAAGCCUGAUCCAGCCAUGCCGCGUGUGUGAAGAAGGUCUUCGGAUUGUAAAGCACUUUAAGUUGGGAGGAAGGGCAGUAAGUUAAUACCUUGCUGUUUUGACGUUACCGACAGAAUAAGCACCGGCUAACUUCGUGCCAGCCGCCGCAGUAAAAC
rnacentral:rRNA from 1 species